AUUGAACGCUGGCGGCAUGCCUUACACAUGCAAGUCGAACGGUAACAGAUCUUCGGAUGCUGACGAGUGGCGAACGGGUGAGUAAUACAUCGGAACGUGCCUAGUAGUGGGGGAUAACUACUCGAAAGAGUGGCUAAUACCGCAUGAGAUCUACGGAUGAAAGCAGGGGAUCGCAAGACCUUGUGCUACUAGAGCGGCCGAUGGCAGAUUAGGUAGUUGGUGGGAUAAAAGCUUACCAAGCCGACGAUCUGUAGCUGGUCUGAGAGGACGAUCAGCCACACGGGGACUGAGACACGGCCCAGACUACUACGGGAGGCAGCAGUGGGGAAUGUUGGACAAUGGGCGCAAGCCUGAUCCAGCAAUGCCGCGUGCAGGAUGAAGGCCGUCGGGUUGUAAACUGCUUUGGUACGGAACGAAAGGCCCUGGGUUAAUACCCUGGGGUCAUGACGGUACCGUAAGAAUAAGCACCGGCUAACUACGUGCCAGCCGCCGCGGUAACAC
rnacentral:rRNA from 1 species